rnacentral:rRNA from 1 species
AGCAGUCGCCGCGGGAAUACGAAGGGUGCAAGCGUUAAUCGGAAUUACUGGGCGUAAAGCGUGCGUAGGCGGUUUGUUAAGUCUGCUGUGAAAUCCCCGGGCUCAACCUGGGAAUGGCAGUGGAUACUGGCAAGCUAGAGUGUGUCAGAGGAUGGUGGAAUUCCCGGUGUAGCGGUGAAAUGCGUAGAGAUCGGGAGGAACAUCAGUGGCGAAGGCGGCCAUCUGGGACAACACUGACGCUGAGGCACGAAAGCGUGGGGAGCAAACAGGAUUAGAUACCCCCGUAGUCCCUGUCUCUUAUAC